UACAGAGGUGGCAAGCGUUGUUCGGAAUUACUGGGCGUAAAGGGCGCGUAGGCGGUCAGGUCAGUCCCGUGUGAAAUCCCUCGGCUCAACUGAGGAACUGCACGGGAAACUACCUGGCUUGAGUUCGGGAGAGGGAAGCGGAAUUCCGGGUGUAGCAGUGAAAUGCGUAGAUAUCAAGAGGAACACCAGUGGCGAAGGCGAGUCCCUGGACAAAUCCUGACACUGAGGCACGAAAGCUAGGGGAGCAAACAGG
rnacentral:rRNA from 1 species